rnacentral:lncRNA from 1 species
CAUCAUGUGUAACCAAACUUGCGAGCACAAUUCCUCAUUGCCUGACACAACACCUUGCCACGUGAAGUGCGCAGAUUCUGUCAAGUACUCCUCGUUCCAACUGCCAACUUGCCGACUCUGCGGAACAUGUGAUAAUGGCCAAUGCAAGAAUAGAACUUCGUGUAAUUGAGCCACACGUAGGCACCGCAUACGUGUGGUUCUGGAAUGUUGGAAUAAAAUGUGCUAUGUGAAA